CAAUUUUACAUCCAAAAAGGGGAUCUUACAGUACAUAAGACUUGUGGGAACUUACCCUUUAUACAUGAACUUUCUUUCACAUUUAAAGGGGUUGUCCCACAGGAUAAUUUUUAUUUAAAGGGAGACUGGAGAAAAAAACUAAACUAAACAAUACUCACCUCCCCCUGAUCCACCACUACUGCUAUUCCAACGUUCAUCAGGUUUUAUCUGGUCACUCAAUAAAUCAAUGGAUGAGGCGGGUAACAGCUGCAGACAUUUCCUGUGUGUCAAGAUAGGACCAGGAAAAGAAGAUCAUCUGGCACCCAGUAACCAAUGGAACAGCAGCAGUGGGGGAUCCAGCGAGGUAAGGGUGAGAAAGAGCAAGGAAAGAAGGUUAUAUUCUGCCACGUAAUACCUGUACCUGUAAUGGCUUGGUCGGACUUUUGGUUCCUGUAUGAGAAAAGACAGAAUACAUCUAAUACUGAAGAUUAAAAAAGAUUCAAAGAUUCAAAAAACAGCUACCAAGAUACACGAGAGACCUUCAGUCCGACAUCUAUUCCUAGGAGCUUUUAAU